ACGAUGGCUUGUGUCUGGAUACUUACCUGUGUUACCUACAACUGAAGUAUUCAGAGAAUGUCACGACAACAUCCACGACCGUCACCUCCACCAACGGCACAACAACACCGCCCUGCCUACAGUGGAGAGACGUGCUGGUGUUGAACUGGUUUGAAAUGACUGACGACUCGGGUAUGGUGAAGGGACUUAAAGAAGCGGGUAUCCCAGUGCGGGUGAUGAAGGAUGAUGACAUUGAUGACGUGGCCACGGCCCGCAGUGACGUGGUGUGGAUGACGUAUGGAGAAAGUGUUUGUGGUCUGGAGAGAAAAGUCGUCGUGUAUCGGAAGGACUUUCCUCGAACCCUGUUUACCUCCGUGUCCCGGUGUACGUCACAACUUGUGAUGGUCUACGCUUACUACAUAUGAUAUGACCUCGACAAGAAGAAGUCGAUGUUUGCUGUCGUGCUUGCACUCCGUGGAUGGUUAAUACACAUAAUGUAGGUUGUCAAUGGAAACAUCACAAAGAAAAACCUGCAAAAGACAGCAAAUAGUAACACUGAGGAUAACAAACAGUUUGACACAGUUGACUGUAAGGUCAUGAGUAGGGUCAUAGGUGAGGGUGUGUAGCACACAGCUCUUAUUAUCACGACGAUGGAAAAGUCCAGAAAGUCCAUUGCUGUACCUUAUAGAAGCGGCCACCGUACUUUCACACUUCAAACGUUUCUAACUCAGUGUUAGGACUAGAAGAACAACUUUUGUAUCAAAAGAAAGUUCAGAACCUGUACUUUGUAAAAAUAUGCAAUUUGCCAAAUCUCAAAUUUCCGACUUAAGACUUAUCUCGUCGUGGAGGGUCACAAACACACACUGACAGACACACAGACAGCUUCCCACGUGCACGAAGUCAUACAGACGCGCAUUAACACGCAUGCGCAGGUAGCCAGUGAGAAAGUGGGAUUGUGUCCCCUUGUGUGUCACAGUUGUCUCUAGCCGACAUCGUCGUGUUCGACCAGGCCAGCAGUGUCAAGCACAACUUCCCCGAGAUUAAGACCCUUGUUGCCAAAGUGGAAAGCAAAGAAAACAUCAAGACUUACCUGGCCAACCGCAAGGUAACUGUGUUUGAAGCGGAAACAACGCUGUUGUGACAUUGGGGCCUGUUGGAAUGCAUCCUUUCUUUUGAAAAAAACAGUUUCACAUUCAGUUAACAGCAAAUGAACAAAAGUGAUCAAAGUCAACGACUCGUCCAGUCCACAUCUUUGUAUGUUUGAAGAACGGAGACUCGCCUGUACACCAGACAACACUAAAACAGAAAUAGUUACUCUUACAGGACGAACAAAAGAACUUUUAGCAGAUCACUUCCAUCUUUUGAGUCCUGAACUUUAUUUUCGGGGUCCAGAUUGUACCAUCUGUACUUUACGCGAGGGUGACCAUAUAAGUUGUGAAGGGAUCAAUGUGAAUAGCUAUUUGUGAAUAACAAGAUUGCGGUGCCUGAGAGACCACAGUGACAACACAAGAGGUUUUUUGAUUUAGAGGUGUGUACAAGAUAAGAGCUGGUGAAGACACAAGGCAUUUGACAUCAGUUCUGUAUGUCAUAAUAAACUGUAGACAAUCCACAACCUGCAGCUUUUUAUCCCUAUCACGGAAUUUUUGUUUCUGUUUGUGUCCGUGACCUCUCGAUUCAGAAAAUUCGCUUUUUAUCUAGUGAGAUAUCUAAUAAGUCAGUUAUUAUUAUUGUUAUUUAUUAUUAAAUACUACAAGAUGUUUGUGAUGCCCAGCUAACUGGGACUGCAGUGCAAGAAUGGUAUUUCCAGCGAGAAGAUGCUUUGCCGAUCUUUGUUCCUGUGAUGUAGUUGCUAGUGUUCUCGAUGUAUUACAAGUUGGUAAAUGUUACUGCAUGACAACUCCAGUCGCAUUUUUUCCUGUUUUCGCUAUAACCACUCGGGUUCCUCCAUGAUCAAACUUUUCUUACAAUCUGAGAUGUCCAGACACCUUGCGUAUCUCUGCUUUUCAUCUCUCUAUAUCUUAACCGCAGGUUGAUGUUUCAGGUAAAAUUUAAAAUCAUUAGCUGCGAGUUUUAUAUAUAUAUAUUUUUUUAAGAUGGCAAAUAGUCACUGAUCGUUCACUUUGGGAGAUAUGGAAUAAACACAUUCUGCUAAUUUUAACUAUCUUUGUUCAACUAGUGGUAUCAGUUAUUGUUUUUAUAAUUUUUUAUUGAUAGGAUUUUUAUUGGAAUUGAUAUUAAUAAAG
rnacentral:lncRNA from 1 species